UUGUCCGGAAUGAUUGGGCGUAAAGGGCGCGUAGGCGGCCUGCUAAGUCUGGAGUGAGAGUCCUGCUUUCAAGGUGGGAAUUGCUUUGGAUACUGGUGGGCUGGAGUGCAGGAGAGGAAAGCGGAAUUACCGGUGUAGCGGUGAAAUGCGUAGAGAUCGGUAGGAACACCAGUGGCGAAGGCGGCUUUCUGGACUGAAACUGACGCUGAGGCGCGAAAGCGUGGGGAGCAAACAGGAUUAGAUACCCUGGUAGUCCACGCGGUAAACGAUGAAUGCUAGGUGUAGGAGGUAUCGACCCCUUCUGUGCCGCAGUAAACACAAUAAGCAUUCCGCCUGGGGAGUACGGCCGCAAGGUUGAAACUCAA
rnacentral:rRNA from 1 species